CGCGAGAUCCUUCACGUGCAGCCGCAGCAGGAGCAGCUUCCGCGAGGAGCGGCCUCAGGUCAGAGGUCACGACAUCGAGGUGCGGGAGGGGCGAAACAGCAGAAAACGUUUUAAACGUCUAUGAAAAGCAAAGAAAUACGUAAACGGUUUUUGUCCGAUUACGCAGCUAGACUUCAGCCUACAUUUCCGGAGGGCUGGCAUACAACGACUGAUUUCCUACAGUGAGUUGGCUUAUUUUCCAGAUAAAGAGCAACUCAGCCCUUAAGUUGCUUAUGUAAACAUAUUUCUGCUCAAAGCACCAUUGUUGGAGAGAAAACAUUUCUCGAACAAUUCAGGAAUGUAUAAGUGUAUACAGGCAAUUCGCUCGAUAAAAUGAUGAUUUAGGAAAAGGGGCAGGAGACCGAUUUGUUUCUCAUUCUGCACGUCUUUGCCUGGUUCCCAGAUGAGGAAGGUUACUGCCAAGAAAGUUUGCGCAGUAAUCGGUGUCAUCUUUUUACGAUUGACCUUUCAGUGCUAAAAUGCAAGUGCUGCUGUCCCCGUGGGCGUUGUUCCUUCAGUGUUUUAUGUCUCCUGAAGAUCGAUUUCACUGCUCCUGUUACUACUCCUCGCUGUUCCCAGAGUCUCUAAACAAGGUGCUCCAGAUUCCUCCCACAGUCCAGAGACAUGCUGUACUGGCAGGUUAAUUGGCUUCUGGGAAUACAAUAUAGGCUCUGGUGUGAGCUUUUCGGUGGGAUUCAGCCUGUAGAUUGUGCUCACCGCCGUUUCCUCAGUCUAGAGUAAACUGGUCCAAUACUUUUACCAACCACCAGGGGGCGCCGAGGGAGGCUUGGAAAAAGUUGUCGGUAAGUUUUACAGGAAAUGGGCUCUUAGGAAGUAGAAUGUGACAUUUUCAAACACAUUUUUCUUAAAAACCUGCUGCUUAAAUGUAUUAUCAUUUUAUUCGUUCCUGCUUCAUGAUCCAGCUGCUUCCAGGAAAUCAAGCAGGCCAGACACGUCUGGUACAAAGCAGCUCUGCGUUUGCGCCUUGGAAUUGAAAUGACCAAAUCAUUUUUACGGUGGGUAGCUGCAUCAGCAUGCUUAGGCUGCAAAGGAACAAGUAAUAGGUUUAUUCCAUGCCGA